rnacentral:rRNA from 1 species
UGAGGAAUAUUGGUCAAUGGGCGUAAGCCUGAACCAGCCAAGUAGCGUGAGGGAAGACUGCCCUAUGGGUUGUAAACCUCUUUUGUGCGGGGAUAAAGUGUGGGACGCGUCCCAUAUUGCAGGUACCGCACGAAUAAGGACCGGCUAAUUCCGUGCCAGCAGCCGCGGUAAUACGGAAGGUCCGGGCGUUAUCCGGAUUUAUUGGGUUUAAAGGGAGCGCAGGCCGUCCUUUAAGCGUGCUGUGAAAUGCCGCGGCUCAACCGUGGCACUGCAGCGCGAACUGGAGGACUUGAGUACGCACGAGGUAGGCGGAAUUCGUGGUGUAGCGGUGAAAUGCUUAGAUAUCACGAAGAACUCCGAUUGCGAAGGCAGCUUACCGGAGCGCAACUGACGCUGAGGCUCGAAAGCGCGGGUAUCGAACAGGAUUAGAUACCCUGGUAGUCCGCGCGGUAAACGAUGGAUGCCCGCCGUUGGGAUUUAGAUUUCAGCGGCCAAGCGAAAGCGUUAAGCAUCCCACCUGGGGAGUACGCCGGCAACGGUGAAACUCAAAGGAAUUGACGGGGGCCCGCACAAGCGGAGGAACAUGUGGUUUAAUUCGAUGAUACGCGAGGAACCUUACCCGGGCUCGAAUUGCAGGAGAACGAUCCAGAGAUGGUGAGGCCCUUCGGGGCUCCUGUGAAGGUGCUGCAUGGUUGUCGUCAGCUCGUGCCGUGAGGUGUCGGCUCAAGUGCCAUAACGAGCGCAACCCCUGUCCAUAGUUGCCAUCAGGUCGUGCUGGGCACUCUGUGGAGACUGCCGCCGUAAGGUGUGAGGAAGGUGGGGAUGACGUCAAAUCAGCACGGCCCUUACGUCCGGGGCUACACACGUGUUACAAUGGGGCAUACAGCGAGUUGGAUGUGCGCAAGUACGUCCGGAUCAAUAAAGUGCCUCUCAGUUCGGACUGGGGUCUGCAACCCGACCCCACGAAGCUGGAUUCGCUAGUAAUCGCGCAUCAGCCAUGGCGCGGUGAAUACGUUCCC